rnacentral:RNase_P_RNA from 1 species
ACAGUAGGCCGUUCUAUCGCUCUCCGUUUUACGGAGUGAGGAAAGUCCGGGCAGCAUAGGACAUCAUGCUUCUUAAUAGGAAGAAACCUGCGAAGGUUUGUUGGUGCAGAAGAAAAUAACCGUCCCGACUUGUCGGGAUAAGGGUGAGAAGGUAAGGUAAGAGCUUACCAGAGUUAUGGGUGACCAUAAUUGCUGUGCACUCCAUGAGCUGUAAAACCAUGUAAACCAACACUUGAGGAUUGUCCGUCCGAUGUUGGAGGGUAGGUUGCUUGAGGUUAUUAGUGAUAAUAAUCCCAGAUAAAUGAUAGAACUUAUUGCUUUGCAAUAGGACAGAACCCGGCUUACAGGCUUGCUGUUUUU